GGCUUGUAGCUCAGUGGUAGAGCGCUUGCCUAGCAUGUUGGAGGCCCUGGGUUCGAUCCUCAACACCA
rnacentral:tRNA from 1 species